GAAGUACAGAAGGAUAGGAAUCCUUGAAAGAAGAUAAUUUAAACAUUCUGUUCAGGAAAUUUAACCAGGAUGUACUUCACAGAUGCAAUCUAACAGUACAAAAAUUUCAAGAUAGAAAGGGGUCUCAAUUCUGAAACCUAUUCCAUUGAUUUCUUUAAAAUAUUAUUCCCAGAAUAAAUGGUUCACUUCCCAAUUACAUAGUGAUUUCUAAUGCCCUAACUCCUGAGUGUCUUGCAUGGCGAAGGAUGACAAAUAAAAUUGCCGAUGUCAAAUCAACCAGCAGCAAAAGUGAAAAGGUAUAGGAAA
rnacentral:misc_RNA from 1 species